GGAAGAGGCAGCCGCCUUGCAAUCGGUGCGCGGAGUCUGAGCGAGCCCAGCCUAGGGAUUCGGUUUCUUGUUGUGACUAUUGCCUGAGCCUUUCGGAGAGUUCGGUAUUGUUCGUAGAGCUAUGCUAGUCUGCUUAUAGAGUGAAUUGGGGGCCAUUUCUCCUGAGAUAGGCAGGUAGGUGAGACAGUAAUAUGAAACCGGCGUGCUGUUUCCCCCUGUCCCUGAGGUAUUCUAGUAUUUGAGGAAUUCUAAGUCGGAACUGGAGAUGCGCGCCUCACUAGAAGGUUUUACUUCUUGAGACAUUUAACGUAUUAACUUUUUACUUGGAAGACAGGAAACCGAAAGCCUUCUCCCCCUGUCUCUCCAGAGGUGGCCUGAGGAAAGAAGGCAUUCCCUGAGGAGAAACGGACCGGCGAGAGAGGCUCCGGAAGCCUCAAAACAGCCAUGCCUCGCUUAAUGACAGAUACAUGUUGAGAAGUGUGUGAUUCGGCAAUUUCCUCGUCGUGGAACAUCAUCACACAACGAAAUGGGCUACAAUGUCCCUGUGGGACCACCACCGUGUGUCUUGUCGGUCCUGGACAGAAACUUCGUUAGGUGGCGCAGGACUGUACUUGUUUAUGAAGUCGCCGCUUGACUGCACAGGGUGCACCUGCAGUUCCCUUUGGGGCAUAAUAGUUAACUAACGUUUAGGGUGAUCUCACUCUGUCGGUGCUCUCCAGAUCACCCAGAACUCCUCUGGGGCUGGACAAAUUGGGUUUAUUGACUCCUUGCAAGGAGGGAGGCACCUGUAGGAAACAGCAGGACAUCUCAGGGACAGUGUUAGAAAGGAUUUACAGUUUGGGCUUCUCAGGUAAUUUGUGGUAGAGUUCAGGAGGCUGGGCUUCUCUCCGAAUCGGAUGUUUAUUAGAAGGUGGGUGUAAUUCUGUGACUGGGUAUUUUAAUAAUUCUUCCAUAAAAAGGGAGAAGAUCCGAGUGAGACUAAAGCUCUGAUUGGUGAAGAAGCAAUACUCCUUCAUAUGACAGAUGAUAAGGGAAUAUUUAGUCAUUUUUUGUGGUUGAAACAAGGCUUUUUUGUUUGUAUUCAAAUAUGAUUACAGAGUGGGGUUUUUUUGUUUUGUUUGGAUUCAUUGUGAUCAUAGAGUAGCCUUGUCAGAUGUUGGUGUUCCGUGAAAUUAUUUAAUUCAACAGGUCAGCAUAUGCUAGGUGAUGGUGCCAGCCUACUCCCCAACCCCACUAUCAGGGGCUGCUUUUUCCUCAUUAUGUUCCAUAUUAUGUAAUAUAUGAUCUCUGCUUUAGUUUCAAAACAACUGGUGUUUGAUAAUCAAACAUUUAGUAUAAAUAUUUAGCACUCCCCACUGUAUACUUAUCUCUAAUCUAAGCACAGCUGGUUCUUGCCUCCAAGUACCUACUAGUUUAGUGAGAUGGAUAUUUUACUAACCCUUUUUUCAGAUUAGGAAACUGCUUUUGUUGCAUUGAAUAAUUAGUUUAAAGUCAUAUACAGUCAGCAAAACAGGAAAUCUGGGAAUCCAAGUCCAGACAAUCUGAUACUGGUAACUGUCCCUUUAUCACUUUAAGAAUAUGAAUUCCUAAGGACCCUAAAUUGCUGCCACUAAAUCUCAGUUAUCAUCUUCAGCUACUGAUAUCUGUACAUAUCAUAAUUUCUCAACAGCAGUGCUAUUGACAUUUUGGACCAACAAUUCUGUAUUAUGGGGUCAUGGUCUAUGCACUCUAGGACAUUUGGCUGCAUCUGUGGCUUCUAUUCAUGGAUUCUAAUAGGAUCUCCCUCUACUAAUAACAACCAAAAAAUACCUCCACGGGCUGGGGAUGUGGCUCAAGCGGUAGCGCGCUCGCCUGGCAUGCGUGCGGCCCGGGUUCUAUCCUCAGCACCACAUACAAACAAUGAUGUUGUGUCCUCCAAAAACUGAAAAAUAAAUAUUAAAAUUCUCUCUUCUCUCUCUCUCUCUCUCUCUCUCUUAAAAAAAAAAAAUACCUCCACGCAUUGCCAAGUGUCCCCUGAAGGACAAAGUCAUCUCUGGUUGAGAAGCACUGGCAUAUGCCUUUUAUCUCUUCCUGGGUCUUUGAAAUAAAACAAACAUUUGAGACCUGACAGUCCCCAAAUAACUUUGAAUGGGGAGGCCUUGAAGAGGAGACGAGGACACUGUGUACUAAGUUCUUGAAAAGUCUUCUAGGAAAAUGAAGACAGAGAAGGGAAAAACAAAUCAAGUGGAAAAUGCAAAGGGAGAACUGAGAAGGGAUAAAGAUGGAGAAAAUGAACUCGAGGAAUGUAGCCUUACUUCACUCAGUUCACAUUAGCAAAGUUAUUUCACACUAACAAAAACACACUAAGGGAGUCCUAUUUGGAAAAUGCUGGUAUGCUUAGCAAAGAGUCUUGAUCAAUUUGUGAAAGUAUUUCUUUUUCUUUACAGCAUGGUACCAGCUAUAACCUCCUUGAACUGGCUACUUGAAAGAAGCCUUCCUUCAGCGAUAUCACUUCUUCUAAGGUAGUAGUUUAUGUUCCAGGAAAAGUCAAGAUUCCCUAGUGAGCUGGCCAUUGUCACAAAGCUAUGAUAGCUAAGUUUUUUUCAGGUUUUCUAAGAGCUAGAUUCUACUCAGCAUUAUCACAAACAAUCACUUUUAUUUUCAUAACUUCUUUCAUGUAGGAAUUUUUACAAAGCAUAUGAUGUUUAUUAAUUUUCAUCUCAUACCUGUGAAGGAAAUCAUUUUGAUUUUCCUGUUUUAUAGAUACAGAAGCCAAAAUAUGGAGUCCACAAAAAAUAGUGAUAAAUCUGGAAACAGCCUACAGGGAUCUUCACUCUGGAUCAUUCUUUAUGUUUAGCACCACCCCAGAUCUUCAACUACCUAAUAGUAAGCUAAAGAUGAUAAUACUUCAAUUGAAUGCUAAAUUAUGUUUAAAGCCAAUAUUUUAUUGGCUUUAAAAUAUUCCAUAGUCUCUUCAUUUGACCUAUAAAAUAGCAGGCCUAUAGAGACUUUGACUUAAAACAAUAGUGACAGUACUUGAACUAGUACCCAGAUCUCAUGAUUCUUAGUCUAGUAUACUUUUCACUUGGUAAUACUUAGCUUACAGAAAAAAUAAUUAAGACAGAAACUCUAAUACACAUAGUAAUACACAUAAUAAUAAUAACUCUAAUACACAUAGUAAUACACAAAACUCUAAUACACAUACCAGACUUAUCCAACCAUUUGAGUACUUCAUUACAUAGGGGUCUUAAAAAGUUAGUUUUAGGGCUGGGUCUGGGGCUCAGCAGUAGAGCACUUGUCUAGCACGUGCAAGGCCCUGGGUUCAAUCCUCAGCACCACAUCUAAAUAAAUAAAAUAAAGGUAUUGUGUCCAGCUACAACUAAAAAGUAUAUAUAUUUUUUAAAAAGUUAGCUUUAGUGAGGAAAAGAAAGUCAUAGUAGGGUUGGGGUUGUGGCUCAGUGGUAGAGCACUUGACUAGCAUGUGUGAGGCACUGGGUUCAAUUCUCAGAACCACAUAUAAAUAAAUAAAUAGAAUAAAGGUCCGUUGACAACUAAAAAGUAUUUUAAAAAAGACAUAGUAUUUAUUAAUGAAAAGCAACUAGUAACUACAAAAUUAAAUUUAUAUUUGGGUUGAUGUAGUAGACUUCAGAAGGUGCAGUGAGUCUUCCCCUAAAGAAGUUUUGCAUAGGGUUAGCCUUUGAGAAAUAGAUUAAUAGGAAUAAAUUCUUAAUUAUCAAAUUUAGUAAUAUGUGAAAAUGAUAAAAUUGUCUUUAAAAAUGUGUCACUGAGGAGAUUCAGGAAUCACCAAUUCUAAGAAAGUUGCCCAGGAAAUACUAUAUUUCAUAGCAUCAUUAUGUUAAUAAUUCCCAAAUCUGUAUUUCCAAUCCAGACCUCUCCUCUGAGUUCUAGCCGCACAUAAUGCCUACUUUGAAUUUGGUUGUCUUACAGAGGUUUAAAAAGAAUUUUAUUAUUUUCCACAUUAAAUUUUCCUCACAUCAGUUAAUGGCAAUGUUCUCUGCUCAGUUGCUUGUAUUAGAAAUCCAGGAGUUACCCUCAAUUCUUUCCUUUCCUUUACCUUUGUCCUCUUUCCUUUCCUUUACCUUUGUCCUCCAAUCCAUUAUCGAGUAUUAAUAAAUCUGAAAUUCAAACAACUUAUCUCUGUCUUCAAUACUACUAGCCUAAUCUAAGUGAUUGUCAUAUUUUUCUUGGAUACUGUAAUAUUUUCCUUUUGUCCCUUCACAACACUUAUCACAGUUUGUUUAAUUUACUGAUCUGCUAUUUACUUGUGAUUUUCUUAAUCUUAUAUUACUACUAGACUAUACAGAAAUUCUUUGAGAAUAGGUACAGAGUCUGUCUUGUUCACUCUAAUAAUCCCAGCAUCUAGCAGAGGACCUAGCUCAUCAUAGGAAAUUAAUAAAUACUUUAGAAUAUUUGUUGAAUUAAUCAAUGAAAAUUUAAUAGUCCAGAAUUAUAGCAUGAUUCUUAUAGUGAAAUAGUUGAAGUUGAGGCCUUUAUUUAAUCAAACCUGGUAAAAUUGACUGAAACUACCUACCAUAAUUAAAAUCAAUUGUAUUAUAGUAUAUUUGAAAGUGUGUGUUGAAAUUAAAACUAUACACCUGGAAUCCAGAAAGAGAGGAAACACUCAGGAUUUGGUCAUGUUUUCCAUCCAGCAUGUUCAGGAUUGAGAAAUUAUGAACCCAAAGAAUAUUGUUAAGUUAGUUAUUAGAGAGGUACACUUAUUCUAGAGCAUAGAUCAUUUCUUAUGCUUUACCUGUGACCUGAAUUAAAUAGACCUUAAUAACAUCAACCUCCUUUUUUCUGAUCAUUCCCAAGUAGUGUUUUGAUUAUCAACUUAGAUUCCUUGGUACCUUCAUACUGGGAAAGAAAUGAUUUAGACAACAAACGUAAAUAUUCUUGUCACUGGAAAAAUGCAUUUCACAUUAGAACAUAAUUCUGUGAGGACAGAAAAUUGAUCAUCACAGUUACAUCCUCGCUCUUUAUAGAACUAUGCUGAGCACAAAGCAGAUUUUUUUUUUUUGGUGGGUACUAGGGAUUGAACCCAGGGCACUUAAUCACUGGGCCACAUCCCCCCAAAGUAGAUUCUUUAUAAGUACUUGGUGAAUGAAUGAAUGUGUAUUAGUAAAUUAGGAUUAUAUUUUAUACCACAGUCUCUUAUGCAUUUUUUAUUGUGAGUCAGUCUUCAAGUAUUUUUUAUUGUGAGUCAGUCUUCAAGUGUUCUGUACUACAUGCAUUAUGAAAAUUAGGUUUCUGAUUUUGGAGGCCAAAUAUGAGAUCCUGAACUCUGGUAUUCCACCUAAAGGUCCUUGAGAUUAUUUGGUUAGCCAGUUUACCACCUCCUUUGGUAUCUUGUAAUUCCAGUUCAUCCUCUUUAGCCUAUAAAGUUUUUUAAAUAAAAAGAAAUCUAAUUGUGUUGUUCUCCUGAUUAAAAAUCAAUUAAUUCUGUUACCUUCCGAAUAAUAGCUAGCCCAAGUCUCUCUCAAUGUCCACCUCCCCUUACAAUUUUACUAUCUAUCUUUCUUACCAUUCCCCAUUCACAGAUGCUAAGUUCUAGCUGCACUGUAUCCCUUAAUAUUUCAUGAACAUGCUGUGCUCCUUGAUUUUUUCCAUACUAUUUCCGCUGGCUAGAAUGUCUUUGCCUGCUUUUUCCAUCUGAUGAACUCCUAUCAUCCUUUAAAAUCCAGCUAGAUGUUACUUUUGAAGAACGCUUUGAUUUCAUUCUUGUUUUCUCUUUACUACUCUAUCACAGUCCUUACCAUAUCAUGGGUAGCUGUCUUUGAGGUCAUGGAGGGCAGGAUCUGUGUCUUACUCAACUUUCUGUGCUUUUCCAACACCUAGCACAUGUUUGUGAAAGCAAAACCUAUAUGAAGUGAGAGAUAGGAGCACUAAUAACUAACUUGCCAACAGACUUAGCUUCUUGAGCACAACCUCCUUCCCAAGGGAGGAUGGGAAAUUUCCCAGCUAUAUUCUGUUUGGAAUAAUAGAGUAUGAACACAGUCAGGAAAGAAAUGUGUUUUACAUAUUCCCUUUAUGAUUCACUAUAAAAGGAGGUAAUAACAUUCUUCUUGACAUCAGCAGGCUCUCAAAGGAGUGAUUCAUUGUACCUUGUACAUACUCAGUACUGUGGAUUGUCACUGUUUUUAAAAAUGUUUUGGAUUCUCACUAUUAAUUGCUAAUCUUUCCCCCUUGCUCUCGAAAGACAUUGUAAUAUCAACAUCCCGCACAGUGCCUAAUACUUAUUAGGAGCUCAAUAAAUGUUUAUUGAAAGACUUAUGAAUUAAUAAAACAAAA
rnacentral:lncRNA from 1 species